AGAACAAAGGCCUGGAGACUGGAGCGAGCUGCGUUCUUGGGGGUGGGGGGUGGGGCGGCAGCUGGAGAGUGGGGGCUUCCCCAGCGGGAGAGGGAGGACGAUUCUGGAUGGCUUCCCUCCUUGUGGACAGAGUGAGUCUCUGCUAUGAGAAAGGUGUUCUACAUACGGCUCGGGAGCCAGCAAGUGCGUAUGAAGCCCCUUCACAUGGCUAGUGGCAUCCUAAGGACCCGGCGACAAUUAGUCAUGGCGUCAUCGAACACCAGGCUGGAGGAGGUCUUGGAUGCCACAGCUCCUUUUGAAUUUCAAAGACGUUCAAAUCCCCAUCUGGCUGUUACACUUUUAGGCUAUUGAGAGUGAAAACAAGCACUGACAUGAACACCCAACCAGCUGCCGGUGACAUCGUCCCCUUCUGAGAUCUGAGGACAUGGAUACCCAACCACCUGCCGGUGACAUCGUCUCCUUCUGAGAUCUGAGGACAUGAACACCCAACCACCUGCCGGUGAUAUCGUCCCCUUCUGAGAUCUGAGGACGUGGAUAUCCAACCACCUGCCGGUGACAUUGUCUCCUUCUGAGAUCUGAGGACAUGGACACCAAACCACCUGCCGGUGACAUUGUCUCCUUCUGAGAUCUGAGGACAUGAACACCAAACCACCUGCCAGUGACAUCGUCCCCUUCUGAGAUCUGAGGACAUGGAUACCCAACCACCUGCCGGUGACAUCGUCUCCUUCUGAGAUCUGAGGACAUGGACACCCAACCACCUGCCGGUGACAUCGUCUCCUUCUGAGAUCUGAGGACAUGAACACCCAACCACCUGCCGGUGAUAUCGUCCCCUUCUGAGAUCUGAGGACGUGGAUAUCCAACCACCUGCCGGUGACAUUGUCUCCUUCUGAGAUCUGAGGACAUGGACACCAAACCACCUGCCGGUGACAUUGUCUCCUUCUGAGAUCUGAGGACAUGAACACCAAACCACCUGCCAGUGACAUCGUCCCCUUCUGAGAUCUGAGGACAUGGAUACCCAACCACCUGCCGGUGACAUCAUCUUCUUCUGAGAUCUGAGGACAUGGACACCCAACCACCUGCCGGUGACAUCGUCUCCUUCUGAGAUCUGAGGACAUGGACACCAAACCACCUGCCGGUGACAUCGUCUCCUUCUGAGAUCUGAGGACAUGAACACCCAACCACCUGCCGGUGAUAUCGUCCCCUUCUGAGAUCUGAGGACGUGGAUAUCCAACCACCUGCCGGUGACAUUGUCUCCUUCUGAGAUCUGAGGACAUGGACACCAAACCACCUGCUGGUGACAUUGUCUCCUUCUGAGAUCUGAGGACAUGAACACCAAACCACCUGCCAGUGACAUCGUCCCCUUCUGAGAUCUGAGGACAUGGAUACCCAACCACCUGCCGGUGACAUCAUCUUCUUCUGAGAUCUGAGGACAUGGACACCCAACCACCUGCCGGUGACAUCGUCUCCUUCUGAGAUCUGAGGACAUGGACACCAAACCACCUGCCGGUGACAUCGUCUCCUUCUGAGAUCUGAGGACAUGAACACCCAACCACCUGCCGGUGACAUCGUCCCCUUCUGAGAUCUGAGGACAUUGAUACCCAGCCACCUGCCGGUGACAUCGUCUCCUUCUGAGAUCUGAGGAUAUGGACACCAAACCACCUGCCGGUGACAUCGUCUCCUUCUGAGAUCUGAGGACAUGAACACCCAACCACCUGCCGGUGACAUCGUCCCCUUCUGAGAUCUGAGGACAUGGAUACCCAACCACCUGCCGGUGACAUCGUCUCCUUCUGAGAUCUGAGGACAUGGACACCCAACCUGCUGCUGGUGACAUCGUUCCCUUCUGAGAUCUGAGGACAUGGACACCAAACCACCUGCCAGUGACAUCGUCUCCUUCUGAGAUCUGAGGACAUGGACACCAAACCUGCUGCCGGUGACAUCGUCCCCUUCUGAGAUCUGAGGACAUGGACACCCAACCACCUGCCGGUGACAUCGUCUCCUUCUGAGGUCUGAGGACAGACACUCACAUGGACACCUAAACACCUGCCGAUGAUAUUGUCUCCUUCUGAAAUCUGAGGACAUGGACACCCAACCAGCUGCUGGUGACAUCAUCUCCUUCUGAGAUCUGAGGACAGACACUCACAUAGACGCCCAAUCAGCUGCUGGUGACAUUGUCUCCUUCUGAAAUCUGAGGGUUGGAACACAUUGGCCUGGCUCAGUGUUUCUCCAUGUGGUUUUGAGACCACCUGAGUUGGAACCGAUAUGGGUUCCCAGCCUCACGCCUGGAGAGCUGGAUUUUGCGAGUGUGAGGUUAGGUCCAGCAUCUGCAUGUGUAACGAGCUCCCAGGUGUUUCGUAGAUGCAUUAGGGCUUGAGAAGCUCCUUUCUAGCACCAUCUUCCUUUUUGCGCAUGAGGGAGUUCAGGUCCAGAGAAAUAAAGCAGCAAGGUUAGUGGC
rnacentral:lncRNA from 1 species